ACAAAGUGGUGUAAUAGUCUGGAAAGGAUUGGAAUGCAGGGCAGUAUCUUAAGAAUCCCAGGCUCAUUCUGUUUCAUUGAGAGAAAAUUUCCUAGCAACAAAUCAUCCCAGCAUCUCAGGUCUUCUAUCUACGCUGAAAUGUUAAUGCAAUGAACCACAAGGAGUGUGGUUUCAAAAUUGAUGGGCUAGCAACACAAACUGGGAAUUCUUUUGUUUAUUUAAAUUUCUAUGACAAGGAGAUUUGACCAGGGUGAGUUUAUGAUCCUUGGCACCUUCACAAAAGCACGAUCUGGAUAUUUUUCUUCUAGACACUGUUUAUCUAAUUGACAGAUAUUAACAUUGUAAACAUUUUAGAGGAGACGCUCUGGUGGAUGUUGGGGAAAUAGAGGAAGAGGACCAGCCACUGCUCUCAAGGAUCUCAGACCCAUAUGUGAUCGAUGACAACGCAGCAAGUGUGUCAACAGAAAACUGAUCCCAAAAAGGCCCAGAGGGUAAAAGCCUGACUCUUCCAGAAAGUUUCAGGGAGGAAGUGCUAUGGCUGACUAUUGCAAGAAGAUUCAGAUGGAAGGGGAAGAUAAGGAAGGACAUUCCCGGCAGAAGGGACAGCUUGGCCAAGGUAUGGAGGUAUGAGGGAGCACGAUGAACUCAGGUACUUAUAAGAUGGUAUUCUCUCUCUUCGUUUUCAGCUUAAACAGAACAUGUUUAUUAUCUCACAAUUUCUGUGGUUCAGGAGUCUGAGCAAGGUUUAACUGUGUUCUCUGCUUCAGGGUCUCUUACAGGGCUGCCAUCAAGGUGUUGGCCAGCAGUGGGGUCUGGUUUUAAGGCUUGUCUGGGGAAGGAUCCACUUCCAAGGUCAUGUGGUUACUGGCAUGAUUCAGUUCCUUGCAGGCUGUUGAUCUGAGGGCCUUGGUUCCUUGCUGACUGUUGACCAAAGCCUGUCCUGAGUUCUUUGCCACAUGGGCCUCUCCAACACAGUGGCAUGUUUCAUGGAAGCCAGCAAGGGAGAGUCUGCUAGAGACUUGGAAGUUACAAUCUUAUGUAAUUUAAUCACAGAGAUGACACCCAUCAUCUUGCUGGAUUUCAUUGACUAGAGGCGGGUUAUUAGGCCAGCCCACACUCAAGGCAAGAUUACACGAGGGCAUCUAUACUAGAAGGUGGGGAUUUUGAGGGCCAUCUUAGAAUCUCCCUGCCACAAAGAGACAGUUCCGUGUAAUGGUCUGAGGCGGUAUUCAGAAGAUCGUAUUCAUUACUAUGAUUUUCCAUUUAUUCCCAGCUAGGAAUGGUUAAUAACAAGUCAGUAAUAGGUGGUGGGGAAGGAGGAGAUUGGUAACUUUCUACCCAUAUGCCCUGCAUUGUUAAAAAGACCCUCCCAAUUGAAAAACAUGAUGGAAGAUUCUAGCUGUCUCUAUAACGGUCUGCUAAUUUGCUUUUUUUCUUUCUGCUAAUUUGCUUUUUUUCUAUCUUCCCAGUCACUGAAGGGAAUUGGUGCACCUCUCUGGUACCCAUGACACCAAGCCCCUUCCUGGGAUGACAAGGGCUCCAGUUCCCAGUCUCUUAUUUCCUGUUCAUGGCAAAUUUCUCCCUAAUUUGAUUACUACUAUAUUAUUAAACUCCAUUAUCAUAUUACCCUUUUUAGCAUACAGAUAGAAUUUUUAGUUUUCCUAAAUGCUUGAAAUAAUUUUUACCCCUUUAAAUGCUUUUUCAAUGAAUGUUACUCAUUACUGCUGAGAUUGAUUCACCUCUGGCUCUUUUCAAAGGGCGUAGCAUUAAGGAGAGAGCAGGUUUUGACAAGUUGCUGUCAAAAGAAGGGUUAAGUCCACAGAUUUCAUUGUAAUUCCUGGCACAGAGUUUGAGGUAAUAUUUUGUACUUAUUUUGUUACAUGAGCUUUAUCAUAUAACCUCCCCCCGUGCCCCACCACCCAAGGACAUUACGGUGUGACAGUUUCAGUGACAAUACAUGGCUUGUGAGUCCCCUGAAAGAGAUCAGAGAGUAUCUUAGAAACAAAGUAGGAUUUGUCUCUCUCUGAUCAUGAUAACCAGAAAUGGAAAAGAACACCGAACCAAAAAUAGUAGCACAUUUACUCUGACAGUAUAGAAACUGGCAGCUUCUGCUUGUGAGUUUUAGGAUCUCGAGCUAGCAACACCUCUGUGACUCCUUCUACUCAUCUGUCAAGCAGCAACGAUGAUGGAGAUGCAAAUGCAUUUCCCUAAACAGAUUCCAGAAUUAGUACAAUUUGGAGCCCAAUGUGAACAGCUCUGAAUUUUCUCAGAAGAAAGGCCCAAAAUAAUCAAGUAGCCCACCAGCCAAAGGGCAGGCAGAGAUUGCCGUGGGUUUUAAUAAAAUUCUAUUUAUAGCCAGAAUUCUGGAGCCACAUCCGCAAUUGUCUGUUAAAUAAAGGAAACACAAGAUGAUCGUAUGCACCGUUGAGAACACAGUUAAGUUGUAAAGAUUCUAACACAGAAAUGAACGAUCUUGACGAACAAUCUUUAGAUGUUAUGUCAGAAGGUAGAAAAAUCACAUGCUUUCGAGUCCAAAAGUACCGCUAUCUGCAAAGGGGACCAAACAGAUGACUUGCCCAGGAAUUUGGGGGAGAGCCUGAAGCCAUCUCCUGUAAUCGUAGCAUCUCAUUAAAAAAUUCUGAUUUAUUGUAAAAAUCUAUUUGAACUUGUGUCUAAUCCAUUUUUGUAUGUGUUCUUGGUUUUCAAAUAAAAAUGUUUUAAAUUAAUUAUUUUGUGUAUUAUUUACC
rnacentral:lncRNA from 1 species